GCCGCCCGUCCGCCCGCCCCGCCGCUUCCCGGCAGCGGCCGCUCUGGAAGCGGGAGCCUUUAUUUUCGGGCUAAGGGGAAAACAGAAAAGAAAGAAAAAGCAAAAGUGGGAAUUCCCCCGCCCGUCACCGCGGGGAUAAAAGGGCACCGGGCGGCACCGCAGGAGGAGAAGCGGCGAGGACGGCAGCGCGGAGCGGAGCGGCGGAGCCCGGCCGGGCGCAGUUCGGUUGCUGCAAAGAUCAGAGAAUCACAGAAUCAUAGGGGACAGAAGGGACCUCUGGAGAUCAUCUAGUCCACCUUCCUGCUAGAGCAGAAUCCCUACAGAGAGUGCUGUGAGUGGGAGAAAGAAAUACUGCAGCCAGGAUAAGCGAUGGAAAGCCUCCUUCUGCUUCAAUGAGCCAUAAAAGAAAGAAAGAAUUGGAGUAAGGGUUCUAUUUUAAUGCAUUUUCUCUUGAUUUUCCUACUUAAAAAAUAAAGUUUUGUAGUAUGUUCUGGGGUCUUUUUUUCCUUUUUUUUUUUUUUCCUUUAUGUUUCUUUUUGAUACCAACACCAGUCUUUACAGAUAUCCACCCAUACUGAAAUUACGAAAAUUUCAUAGCAUUUUACAGUCAUGGGAGUUCAUGUGGUUUUGGUUACAUGGUUUUAAGAAUGUUUUCCUAAAAGUAUAAUCAAUUAUAUUUUACUGUUUCUGAGAACUCACACUUCUUCUCUUUUUUACGAUGUUACAUGUACGUGUACAGAGAGGCAUUUUUUUAUUUAUCUCUUUUUCCCUUCCCUUCCCUUCCCUUCCCUUCCCUUCCCUUCCCUUCCCUUCCCUUCCCUUCCCUUCCCUUCCCUUCCCUUCCCUUCCCUUCCCUUCCCUUCCCUUCCCUUCCCUUCCCUUCCCUUCCCUUCCCUUCCCUUCCCUUCCCUUUUAGAAAAUGUGUUUCAGUGAGUAAUAGCCACGAUAAUUUGUCCCAUCAUUUGUUUUUUUUCUUUUUCUUCUGCUUUUUUUUUUUUUCUCCUCAAAUCAUUUUUUAUUCUUUCUACCUUCUGUAGUUCAAAGCUUCACUUUGGGACAGGACAGCAACUUUAGUGGAGCCAGAGCAAAAUAAAAUUAUAUAUCUUCAAUUUUCUAGAGCAAGUCCCUUCCCUAGGAAAUAGUUUCAGAAAUGAAAUCUUGGGAGUAUAUUGCAAGACACUCAUGAUUAUUUUCUUGCUUCUGAUGUAAAUUAAUAAAUGCAUAUAUGUGUCCCAUUACAAGCAUUCUGGGAAAUCCUUUUUCCAGUAGAAAUGUUUACUACUACUACUACUACUACUACUAUUACUACUACUACUAUUAUUAUUAUCCUUAUUAUGUACAAUCCUUUAUCUGAAUAAUGCUAAUUUUAGGAAAGAAUAUUCUGUGUCUGUAACAUAUAACAAAAAGAUAACUUCUAACUUCCAACCAACUUCUCCAAGGGUGAAAAUAAAUUUAAACAUCAUUACUUAAACGUGCUUAAAUCCAUGCACUUUAAAAUAUUCUUACAAAAUGCUCUCUUUUCUACCAAGCAGCUUCAUUUAUUGCACAAUAGAAAAUGAUCUUGAAGAGGACAUCUAUUGCUCACAUUGAUAUAAAAAAUCAAUUGAUAAAAAUACAGUUUUAAAAAGAGAGAUUACUUAUUGUAAAUGUGGACUUUGUGGGCCUAACCCUACAGACACGUGCCUGUUUAGCCCCUAUUUCAGCAUGCCUAACUUACGUGCUUACUCCUAAGCAAAAGUUUUGUUUGCAGGUUUGGAACUUAGCUGAAAAUGGAGCAUCUGCAUUUUGAAGCUUAGAAUAUUUCUGACUUUUUUGUGUCUGUUUGCAAUUACCCUAAAAUACUUGCAAACAUGUAUCUCUUUUCAAGAUCCCGUUUACGAAUGUGCCUUUCUUCAUCAUUUGAAGUGAACGGUAGGUAGAUAUGUGCAUAGAAUGAGAGAGGAAUGUAAAGGAGGACACAAAAUUACAGUCAAAAUAUGGUGUGCUAAUGGAAUAUAUCCAAUAAACACCACUCAGAAAGUCAAAGCCAGCGGUGCAUGCUGAGACUUGAAUAUCUUUUUUGUGAGUAUAUUUAAAUAUCACCUGAAGAUGUAGCAAAUGUAUUUCGUAAUUAAGAGCAGUAUACAGAUACUGCAGUUUUUGCUUCAUUGGAAGCAUUUGAAAGGGCUCACUUUGAAACAGUGAGUGAGCAUGUGGGUGCUUAUUCAGUGGUGCUUGAGACCUUCAGCAAAGGUGACAACACCACGGGUUCUCAGAGAUAUCAGCUGGCCUGAAAUGAAAAUAUGUAAAGAGCUUUACAUUGUUCUAACCUGCAAAAAUGGACCGAAUUCUGAUGUAAAAUCUAAGAGGAAGAAAUGAUUGAUCAGUAGCAGCUUUUUAAUUCUUUUACAUGACAUUCAGAAAUUUUCCUCGAAAUAUUCAACAGUUAAAUUUUUUGAAAUGAUGGUGAAUGACCAAAGCUAAAUGUGAUCUCCCAAACUCUUUGGAAACAUUCUAGAAUGCACCACUUUUCUUCGAAGAUUUGAGUCACUUUGAAGGUAAAGUCCUAUAAAACAGGUUCUCUGAAUCAGCAGUUUUUAGACUCAUCUUUUCUAGAAGUAUUGAAGAAAUACACUCUGCACCGCUUAUCUCUCGUCCUCGGUUUAUUUGUUUGAUUUCUGGGCCAUACAGUUUUGGGAGGAAAAAAAACCUUGCUAUUAAUUCACAGGCCAUUUCUCAGAAAAAAAAUCCAUAUUGCUGCUGGUUUUAUUUGAUGUAUUUUUAUAUGUCAUGAGAAGUUGUGCCAUUUUCAGUGUGUGUCACACCCAGUGUUUGUUAUCUUGUCUGAAGCAGAUGAUGCCUUUUUUUGGUGCCUUUUCCUGUGUAUGGCUAAGAUUAGGGCAUGACUGUGAGCAAGGCAGCAGAAAUGUGUCUAGGUAAGACCACAUGAUUGUGACACUUAAAAGGGAUGAGUGUUGCAGUGGGGUGAAUGUGGGCCUCUGGGAGUUUUUUUCCCCUACUGGCAACCUGUGCUCCUAAAUCAGGAGUGGCUUUAGAAAGCUGUGGAGCUGAUGCAUCUUAUUCCAUGGAGGCAGAGUCCUGUAGAUAUCAUGGCAUCAUAUGCAACAUCUUCAGUUGUUUCCAAGGAGCACCCUAGAAAGUGAUCCCAGUGCCCCACUGUUUUCAUAUUUCUUUUAAGAGCCAUUAAGGCAUUGCUUUUACUUCUAGAGCACCCAUACUUGGGGUACUCCUGGGCAAAACAUCAGUCUCAAAUCUAUAUUGCAGCCUUCUUGUAAUUAUUCUGCUGCAACUCAGGAUUCCUUGUCCCCUGGUCUACUUAAAAGGGUCUCGUCUGAAUGUAAACAUCACCCAGCGUUGCUCAUAACACAGCAUGUGAACCUGGGCAAAAACUCUUCCCCGCUCUUUAUGGAUAUACAUUGUCAGUUCAAAACCUCAAGCAUCUGCUUUCAUGGAUUUGGAGUGGAGCAUUCAGUGGGGCAGAAGCUCAAACUUUGGUCUCCUCCAUUUCCCUGGCAUGUAAACCUCUCCUCCUCUCCAGGAAGAGCCUGUAGGCUAUAAUCAGAGCUCACCAUUAUUAUUAGUUUGGCAGUCAGAAGAUAUGGGACCUUCCUGGGUUUGUGUUUUCAAGAAAAGAGGUUCUAGGGAAGUGAGUCAGAAGGCAAGAUACAGAGAAAGUACCACGUGUUCUACCUCUGGCAAAAGGAAGGAGAACUUUUUACUGACACAAGCUGAAUAAACUAAGCUACCUUGCCUCUUGGCACUUGGAAAUGGUAAACGGAGAAUGUACCCAUAAAAAGUAGCACUCAACAUCUCACUGUGGUAUGGAGAACUCCACUGAUCCACAGCUGUCUGUGACUUGGAACACCUUGUAUGCAGCAUGCCUCUCCCACUGCCUCAUCACAGCUGAGUAAAACAGCAGAAACAAGCCCGGUGCUGCCUGACCAAGUUACAAAAUUGUUAAAAAGCCACGUGUGUUACACAGAGCAUUUUAGUUGAUAGAACAGUACCUAAACGACUGCAAAGUUAACACUAUGUAUGAAGUUUGAACUGAAAUAUCAGGAGUGUUUUUUCUCUUGAAAGUGGACUACAUAAAAGAACAACAUGAAGGUAUAAUGGUGUAUGGGCGCUGCUGUCGUCAUGACCAGCUGGACUCUGUCUCUCAAGGACUAAUCUCUCUUGGGUUAGGUUCUCCGUGGACUUUGGCAUAUGUCAAAAGAUGUCCUUCCCUCACUGUUUGAAGCUACUUGCUGUAGGAUGGGAAAGAAAGUGCUCUGCUCCUCAUCAGCAUCAAAAGCACAUGGUCACAGCUCAUGGAAAGCAUACCAGGUGGUUUACUUGACUGAUGGAAGCAACUUUUGUGGAAAUAAGAAGCUGGGUGAAAGAGAUACGAUUCCAUGACUGAAGAAGAGACUUUAAUAUGAAAUGAUGCUUUGUUGUGCACCAGAAAAUCAACAUGAAAGGGAGAAUUAUGAAACCUGGCAGUUUGCAGCCAACCCAAUGCACAAAGAAAACCACAUAUAGUUCAAUCCUGGUCCACCUGCUUCUGUUUUCUCCGUGUGGCAUUGUACAACUGCUAUAUACAGAAGCAAAUCUUGGCAGUAUUUGUGAAGUGUCCUAGAAGAAUCAUACGAUUCUGCUUGAUGGUUUCUCCUGACAGAGUAGAACCAGAAAUCAUUUGCCCUUUUCUAAACAGGAAAGGUCAAAAGUGAAUGACAUUAUAGUGCUCUCAUGAUUUCGUGUCCAGGUCUGUAUUGCCCUGAGGAAUUAUUAUAGAUAACAUUUAUGAGCGUGUAUCUGUAUCUAUGUGCAUGUGUGGAUAAUGCAUGUAUGAAUUUAGCAGAGUUUAAAAGGAGUUGCUGUUGAAAUAGUCUUUUCUUGAGCACCUUUUAAGCCUUCAGGUCUCACCAAACAGUUAAUAUGUGGGUUUGAAAAAUGUACUAAAAAAGCAUCUUUGUAGACAUAAAUGCUUUAAAGAUUUGCUCACUGAAGGCUUUUGAAAUGGCUGGUCUGCAGAGCACUUGUUCAUGUCCUUAGGACAGCUGGCUGAUGGUGUUGUGCAGGCACAGCUUCAGACACUGAGUUUACAGAAUAGUAUCUCAAGUGGUUCUGCAGGCUAGAUGUGGAUCUUAUGUGAUCUGCAGAUGAAGGUGGUGAGCUCUGUUGGGGUACAGUCCCUGUGAUAAAAACAUUUGAGUACCUCCAUCCUAAUAUUAAAUAAGGACAAUCCCCUAGCCUCAGUGAAAGUACAGCCUUCCAAGGGUUUUUCCUUAAUAAAAAAGCAACAGAUCAAACCUAAAUAAGCCAUUAAUUUUGUGUGAUUUUUACUUGCACUUUUUCAUGUCUACUCUCAGGACUGUUUGUGUUUUGUUAUUAUUAUUCAAUAGACAUACUUCAUUUUCUUCAGAGGUGUGGCAUGAUAUCAUUGUGGUCUAAUAAAUGAAAUCAUUUUGAAUAGAUUUUCAUCAACAUAAUUUGUGCAGUUUGUUUUGUGCAAAUAAAAUUCCAAGAUGCUGAGUUCCUGCCUGUGUAGUCACAUCUGCAUGGUGUAGUAUUUUUCAGUGCUUCAACUUGAAACUGGAGGCAUAACAUAAGGCCAGAGUUUCUGUAGGUCAGCUCUUCAAUUCUGAACUCGUCACUAGAGAAAGAACAGAGAUAGAAGAAUAGCAAGAGGUAGAAUAAAUAACUCCAGGGAACAUUAUUUUGAGAGAAAGUCAAACACUACUGUGACAGGUAGCUAGAAGAAGUAGGGUAGUCAUGUACAAGUUCCGUGUAUUGCACAUGCUUGACAAGUCAGGGUUCUUGGUAGGGAUUCUUGAGCUGAGUGAGGGUGGGUCAUUGUCCUGCUGACUCUUGGCUCUGUUCCUCCAAGUUCUCAUCAAACAGGAAAGAAUUUCCCUCCUUCUCUGACAAGCUUCCUCUUUAUAAGGGAUUAAAGAACAGAGAAUUUUACUGAGAAAAAAAAAGGUAUAAACAAAAGUUUUUCAGUACUUCAUCCUCAUUGACCAGAGUUGCUUAUAUAUGUUUAGCUUAUUUCACACACACACACACACACACACACACACACACACACACA